GAUGAACGCUGGCGGCGUGCCUAAUACAUGCAAGUCGAGCGAACGGACGAGAAGCUUGCUUCUCUGAUGUUAGCGGCGGACGGGUGAGUAACACGUGGAUAACCUACCUAUAAGACUGGGAUAACUUCGGGAAACCGGAGCUAAUACCGGAUAAUAUUUUGAACCGCAUGGUUCAAAAGUGAAAGACGGUCUUGCUGUCACUUAUAGAUGGAUCCGCGCUGCAUUAGCUAGUUGGUAAGGUAACGGCUUACCAAGGCAACGAUGCAUAGCCGACCUGAGAGGGUGAUCGGCCACACUGGAACUGAGACACGGUCCAGACUCCUACGGGAGGCAGCAGUAGGGAAUCUUCCGCAAUGGGCGAAAGCCUGACGGAGCAACGCCGCGUGAGUGAUGAAGGUCUUCGGAUCGUAAAACUCUGUUAUUAGGGAAGAACAUAUGUGUAAGUAACUGUGCACAUCUUGACGGUACCUAAUCAGAAAGCCACGGCUAACUACGUGCCAGCAGCCGCGGUAAUACGUAGGUGGCAAGCGUUAUCCGGAAUUAUUGGGCGUAAAGCGCGCGUAGGCGGUUUUUUAAGUCCGAUGUGAAAGCCCACGGCUCAACCGUGGAGGGUCAUUGGAAACUGGAAAACUUGAGUGCAGAAGAGGAAAGUGGAAUUCCAUGUGUAGCGGUGAAAUGCGCAGAGAUAUGGAGGAACACCAGUGGCGAAGGCGACUUUCUGGUCUGUAACUGACGCUGAUGUGCGAAAGCGUGGGGAUCAAACAGGAUUAGAUACCCUGGUAGUCCACGCCGUAAACGAUGAGUGCUAAGUGUUAGGGGGUUUCCGCCCCUUAGUGCUGCAGCUAACGCAUUAAGCACUCCGCCUGGGGAGUACGACCGCAAGGUUGAAACUCAAAGGAAUUGACGGGGACCCGCACAAGCGGUGGAGCAUGUGGUUUAAUUCGAAGCAACGCGAAGAACCUUACCAAAUCUUGACAUCCUUUGACAACUCUAGAGAUAGAGCCUUCCCCUUCGGGGGACAAAGUGACAGGUGGUGCAUGGUUGUCGUCAGCUCGUGUCGUGAGAUGUUGGGUUAAGUCCCGCAACGAGCGCAACCCUUAAGCUUAGUUGCCAUCAUUAAGUUGGGCACUCUAAGUUGACUGCCGGUGACAAACCGGAGGAAGGUGGGGAUGACGUCAAAUCAUCAUGCCCCUUAUGAUUUGGGCUACACACGUGCUACAAUGGACAAUACAAAGGGCAGCGAAACCGCGAGGUCAAGCAAAUCCCAUAAAGUUGUUCUCAGUUCGGAUUGUAGUCUGCAACUCGACUACAUGAAGCUGGAAUCGCUAGUAAUCGUAGAUCAGCAUGCUACGGAGAAUACGUUCCCGGGUCU
rnacentral:rRNA from 1 species